AUACGGAGGGUGCAAGCGUUAUCCGGAUUUAUUGGGUUUAAAGGGUGCGCAGGCGGAUAAUUAAGUCAGUGGUGAAAUCCUCCCGCUCAACGGGAGAACUGCCAUUGAUACGGAUAAUCUGGAAUACGGUUGAAGUGGGCGGAAUGUAGCAUGUAGCGGUGAAAUGAAUAGAGAUGCUACAGAACACCGAUCGCGAAGGCAGCUCACUAAGCCGAUAUUGACGCUCAGGCACGAAAGCGUGGGUAGCGAACAGGAUUAGAAACCCGAGUAGUCC
rnacentral:rRNA from 1 species